rnacentral:rRNA from 1 species
UACGAACCGUCCAAACGUUAUUCGGAAUCACUGGGCUUAAAGAGUCCGUAGGCGGCUCAGAAAGUAGGGUGUGAAAUCCCACGGCUCAACCGUGGAACUGCGCUCUAAACUACUGAGCUUGAGGGAGCUAGAGGUAAGCGGAACUGAUGGUGGAGCGGUGAAAUGCGUUGAUAUCAUCAGGAACACCGGAGGCGAAGGCGGCUUACUGGGGCUUUUCUGGACGCUGAGGGACGAAAGCUAGGGUAGCGAACGGG